UUAGCUCAAAUAUAUCAUUUUCUAAAAUUUAUAUCGAUGGAUGGCGCAUGCUUUAUUAGAGCAAUAUUUGUAAUUUCAAUUCCGUAUUUCGCUUAUAUAAAAAUAAUUAAUAAUAUUAGAUGGUUGGUCGUCCCCUUAAAUAACAUACUUAUAAAAGAAAAAGAAAAAGAAAAAAGAAAUUCCUUAAAAGCACAAAAUUGUAGACUAAGGGCAUGAAACUCGAAAAGAGAUCAGAAAACUAAAGAAAAAUAAACAAAAACAAUUCAGUACCGAUAAUCAGGAUAAUCAUCCACUUCAUUCGACCAACGCCCAUGUACUAUAUUAUCCAUUGCCUG
rnacentral:lncRNA from 1 species